rnacentral:lncRNA from 1 species
CCGGCUCCCGCGCGCAGAGCUCCCCAAGCCUGGGCGGGCGCCUGGAUAGCGCGACCGGCACGGACCCGCACGGGGUCUUGGCAGAGACGCGCGGGACUUGGCGGGGGCCACUCCCUCCUGGCGGGCGGGGCAGGAAACGCGCCGCGAGGCUGCGGGGGGCGAGGGGAGGGAAGGGGCGAAGGAACCUCAGCCUCCCCACCCCAGCCCCGCCCCCGGGCCCAGCUCCGACCCCGAUGCGUCCCUGAGGCCUGGGUCCCAGGGGCUCUCCGCGCCCGGUCGCCCCUUCCCGGAGUCGCCACGUCCAGAUCUUGUCACCGGCCCGGGACCACCUCGUGGGCCGGGCGGGGUGAAGUGCCGUUAGGAAGGACGGUCCCAUGGGAUGGGGGGCCGGGGAACAGGAGACGCACGCCAGGUCGGGAGAAGAGGACGGACUGCGCAGAGCAGAGGCCGCAGAGGGUCGGCCCGGGAGCGCGGGGGUCCCUCCACACGCUCCCCGUCCCCGCUUCCCACGCGGCUCCCUUCGGACCCCAGGGCAGGUGGGGACGAAGAAAAAUGCUCAGCUCCUGAGGCAGUGACCCUAGAGGGACAGAGACUGCAUCUGGGAGAAAUGUGGAAGGGUCAGCUGCGUCCAGUGGGCUCCCUGAGACACUGCAACUGCUUUGUCCGGGUCGUGUCUACUAAGUGGAACUCAAGCAAGAGUCUCCGUCUCUGAUGCUGGAGUGGAAUGUCCACGGGGGCAGGUAAUGAAGAAGGGAAAUUCAGGAGCAGCUGCAGCCCCAGCAAGACAGACAGAAAUCCAUGUCAGUUCCUGAUUCCUUUUGCUUAAAACACCUCCUUUACAAUUUGCUUUAGUGUAAAUGUUAGUGACAAACUCCUUUGUGCUGCAAGUGUCUUUAUUUGGCCCUUAUUUUUUAUUUAUUUAUUUAUUAGAGUCUGGCCCUGUCACCUAGGCUGGAGUGCAGUGGUGCCAUCUCGGCUCACUGUAGCCUCCAGCUCCCGGGUUCAAGUGAUUCUCCUGCUUCAGCCUCCCGAGUAGCUGGGAUUACAGGCACGCGCCACCAUACCUGGCUAAUUUUUGUAUUUUUAGUAGAGGUGGGGAUUCACCAGGUUGGCAAGGCUGGUCUUGAACUCCCGACCUCAAGUGAUCCACCCACCUCAGCCUCCCAAAGUGCUGGGAUUAUAAGCGUGAGCCAGUGUGCCCGGCCACAUUCAUUUUUAAAAAUUUGCAGCCAUUUGCUUUUCAAAUGUUUUGCUCUGGUCCAGUUUCUG